UAUUUUAUAUCAUAAAAAAACAAAAAAAAAUAACAUUAAUUAACAUCCAUUCAAUCCAACAAACUAAUUUCAAAAUAAAUGCAUCUAAUAUUCAAUGAGAUCACCACUAAUAAAUAAUAAAAUAUCCCAAAUUGAAAAAACCAUCCCAAAAUAUAAAAAAAAAUUAAAUUCUAAUCAAUCUUCAAGAAAAGCAAUUAAAAUUCCAGUCACAAAACCAAGUUACCUAACAAAACUUCCAAAGAUUAAUUUAAGUAU
rnacentral:lncRNA from 1 species